rnacentral:rRNA from 1 species
AGCUCCAAAAGUGUAUAUUUAAGUUGUUGCGGUUAAAAAGCUCGUAGUUGGAUUUUGGGCGCAGGCGGCCGGUCCGUCGCAAGGCGUGCACUGGCUGCACCUGGCCCUCAACCCCGGCGCUCCGCCGGUGCUCUUGACUGAGUGUCGGCGGCGGCCGGGACGUUUACUUUGAAAAAAUUAGAGUGUUCAAAGCAGGCGGUUCGCCUGAAUAAUGGUGCAUGGAAUAAUGGAAUAGGACCUCGGUUCUAUUUUGUUGGUUUUCGGAGCGCGAGGUAAUGAUUAAGAGGGACGGACGGGGGCAUUCGUACUGUGCCGUUAGAGGUGAAAUUCUUGGAUCGGCGCAAGACGAACGACUGCGAAAGCAUUUGCCAAGAAUGUUUUCU